CAAAAGCGUAUAUUAAAGUUGUUGCAGUUAAAAAGCUCGUAGUUGAACCUUGGGCUUGGCUGGCCGGUCCAUCUUUUUUGAUGCGUACUGGACCCAGCCGAGCCUUUCAUUCUGGCUAGCCUUUUGGCGAACCAGGACUUUUACUUUGAAAAAAUUAGAGUGUUCAAAGCAGGCCUUUGCUCGAAUAUAUUAGCAUGGAAUAAUAGAAUAGGACGUUAUGGUUCUAUUUUGUUGGUUUCUAGGACCAUCGUAAUGAUUAAUAGGGACGGUCGGGGGUAUCAGUAUUCAGUUGUCAGAGGUGAAAUUCUUGGAUUUACUGAAGACUAACUACUGCGAAAGCAUUUACCAAGGACGUUUUCAUUAA
rnacentral:rRNA from 1 species